GUUAGGAAUAUUGGACAAUGGGCGCAAGCCUGAUCCAGCCAUGCCGCGUGCGUGAUGAAGGCCUUCGGGUUGUAACGCUCUUUAGUCCACGAAUAUAAUGACUGUAGUGGAAGAAUAAGCCCCGGCCAACUUCGUGCCAGCAGCCGCGGUAAUACGAAGGGGGCGAGCGUUAUUCGGAAUCACUGGGCGUAAAGCGUGCGUAGGCUGUUUUGUAAUUCAGAAGUGAAAGCCCAGGGCUUAACCCUGGAAUUGCUUUUGAAGCGACAAGAGACGGAUGCGGGAGAGGAUAGCGGAAUUGUCAGUGUAGCAGUGAAAUGCGUAGAUAUUGACAGGAACACCAGUGGCGCAAGCGGCUAUCUGGACCGAUAGUGACGCUGAGGCACGAAAGCGUGGGGAGCAAACAGGAUUAGAAACCCCUGUAGUCC
rnacentral:rRNA from 1 species